GUGUCAGCAGCCGCGGUAAGACGAACCGUGCGAACGUUAAUCGGAUUCAUUGGGCUUAAAGGGCGCGUAGGCGGCGGCGUAAGUUCGUGGUGAAAUACCAUCGGCUCAACCGUGGAAUUGCUUCGAAUACUGCGUCGCUCGAGGGAGAUAGGGGACCGCAGAACUGCCGGUGGAGCGGUGAAAUGUGUUGAUAUCGGCGGGAAUGCCAGUGCCGAAAGGGGCGGUCUGGACCUCUUCUGACGCUGAGGCGCGAAAGCUAGGGGAGCGAACGGGAUUAGAUACCCCCGUAGUCC
rnacentral:rRNA from 1 species